rnacentral:rRNA from 1 species
AACGAACGCUGGCGGCAUGCCUAACACAUGCAAGUCGAACGAGACCUUCGGGUCUAGUUGCGCACGGGUGCGUACCGCGGGGUAACCUGCCCUUAGGUUCGCAAUAACUCCCCGAAAGGGGUGUUAAUACCGGAUAAUGUCUUCCGACCAAAGAUUUAUCGCUUUAUGAUGGGCGCGCGUUGGAUUAGCUGGUUGGUAGGGUAAAAGCCUACCAAGGGGACGAUCCAUAGCUGGUCUGGGGGGAUGAUCAACCACACUGGGGCUGAGACACGGCCGAGAUUCUUAGGGAAGGAAGGAGUUGGGAAUAUUGGACGAUGGGCGAGAGCCUAAUGCAUCAGUGUCGUGUAGGUGUGGAAGGCGUGAGGAUUGUGAAGCUGUUUUGAACGUGAUGAUAAUGACGGUACCGGGAGAAUAAGCGCCGGCUAACUCCGUG